rnacentral:lncRNA from 1 species
AAGUGAUUCAGUCAGGAGGGCUUGGCCCUUAAGGAAUGAAUUCAUGCCUUAUAAAGGGGUAGAGGGAACUAACUUAGGCCCUUUUGCCCUUCCAACUUCCACAUAUGAGGAUACAGCAUUCAUGCCCUCCAGAGGACACAAGGUACCACCUUAGAAGCAAGGAACAGAGCCCCUUACCAGACACAAAAUGUGCCUGUGCCUUGACCCUGGACUCCUCAGCCUCCAGAACGAAAAACUGAAAAAAAAAAAUUCCAAAUGAAGAAAAACAGUUGAUCCUAGACUCAUUGCCCAGAGGAAGACUAUGAACAUUCCACAUGAAGAAAAACAGUGGCUCCUAGACUCAUUGCCCAGAGGAAGACUAUGAACAUUCCACAUGAAGAAAAACAGUUGAUCCUAGACUCAUUGCCCAGAGGAGGACUAUGAACAUUCCAAAUGAAGAAAAACAGUGGCUCCUAGACUCAUUGCCCAGAGGAAGACUAUGAACAUUCCACAUGAAGAAAAACAGUUGAUCCUAGACUCAUUGCCCAGAGGAGGACUAUGAACAUUUUAGCACGUCUCCCUCCCAGGUUUCCUAGAAUAGAUGUCUGUACAUAGUUAAUAAAAACAUAUAUUCAAGUUUUGCAGCUUUUUGUUCCACUUUACAUUUUAAGUUGAACGUUUACACUUCCCAUUCCAAGAUCUUCAGAAACAUGUUUAGAAACAGAAGAGUAUCCCAACAACAGUCUGUUUAACCUCUUCCCCU